GACGAACGCUGGCGGCGUGCCUAACACAUGCAAGUCGAGCGAUGAAAUUAGAAACGGAGUCUUCGGACGAAGAGGAAAAUGGAUUAGCGGCGGACGGGUGAGUAACACGUGAGCAACCUGCCUAUCACAUCGGGAUAGCCUCGGGAAACUGGGAUUAAUACCGAAUGAAACAUAAUCACUGCCUAGUGGACAUGUCAAAGAUUUAUCGGUGAUAGAUGGGCUCGCGUCUGAUUAGCUAGUUGGUGAGGUAAUGGCUCACCAAGGCGACGAUCAGUAGCCGGCCUGAGAGGGUGAACGGCCACAUUGGGACUGAGACACGGCCCAAACUCCUACGGGAGGCAGCAGUGGGGAAUAUUGCACAAUGGAGGGAACUCUGAUGCAGCGACGCCGCGUGAGCGAUGAAGGCUUUCGAGUCGUAAAGCUCUGUCGAAUGGGAAGAUAAUGACGGUACCAUUUGAGAAAGCCCCGGCUAACUACGUGCCAGCAGCCGCCGUAAAAC
rnacentral:rRNA from 1 species